GAUGAACGCUGGCGGCGUGCCUAAUACAUGCAAGUCGAGCGAACGGACGAGGAGCUUGCGUGUCUGAUGUUAGCGGCGGACGGGUGAGUAACACGUGGAUAACCUACCUAUCAGACGGGGAUAACUUCGGGAAACCGGAGCUAAUACCGGAUAAUAUUUUGAACCGCAUGGUGCAAAAGUGAAAGACGGUCUUGCUGGCACGUAUAGAUGGAUCCGCGCUGCAUUAGCUAGUUGGUAAGGUAACGGCUUACCAAGGCAACGAUGCAUAGCCGACCUGAGAGGGUGGUAGGCCACCCUGGAACGUGGACGCCGUCCAGGCGCCUACGGGACGCAGCAGUAGGGAAUCUUCCGCAGUGGGCGAAAGCCUGACGGAGCGACGCCGCGUGAGUGAUGACGGUCUUCGGAUCGUAAAACUCUGUUAUUAGGGAAGAACAUAUGUGUACGUAACUGUGCACAUAUUGACGGUACCUAAUCAGAAAGCCCCGGCUAACUACGUG
rnacentral:rRNA from 1 species